UCCCUGUGGUCCAGUGGUUAGGACUCAGCACUUCCACUGCUGUGGCCUGGGUUCAUCCCUGGUUUGGGAA
rnacentral:tRNA from 1 species